UGCUAGUUUUCAGACGAAACGCAUAGUUUAGUUUCUUUGAAAGUUUGCUACUAACUAUGAAAACGUUCUGGGUACUUUUGGCAGUGGCUUUUGCCACACUUUUGGAGAUCGAAUCAGCGGCACCGAGAUGCGUUUGCACAUGUACUCACAAAGUGUGUACUACCAUGAUUCAUCCAGCUGCGACGUGUUUAAAUUUUGCUACGCCCUGUUGCACUGGAUAUGUACCUGACGGUGACUGGUCACAUUGUAUUUUAACUUAGUCAGUGCCAUUAACUUUUACCUUCGCCAAAGCAAUUCCUUCCGGUUAGAUUUAACAAAAAAGUGAACUGACCCUAUACCUAUGGGUUGUAAAUACCCUCAAUAGUGUACAAUUACAAUAGAAGCAUUAAAUAUUUUUGUUUCUACUAUUCUUA